rnacentral:misc_RNA from 1 species
AUUUAUCUCUAUUUUCCAAUCCUUUCUUCCUUGCGCCCUCUUCUGAUUCCCUCGUCUACCCAGCUAACCUUUCCUAUAUUUCUCUCUUCUCUUCACACUAGCCUCACUCCUCUACACCUUGUUGUUAAGGACUCCCGACUUUUAUUGAAAUUAGUGCUCUUGUUGUAAGAAUUGCAUGCCAAUGAGGGGGGGCUUUAUUAGUGGUUCCUUAAGAGUUAUAUGCUCUGAGGUCAUCACAAAGAUUUG